rnacentral:rRNA from 1 species
GACGAACGCUGGCGGCGUGCUUAACACAUGCAAGUCGAACGGCAAGGCCCUGCUUUUUUGCUGUUCUCGAGUGGCGAACGGGUGCGUAACACGUGAGUAACCUGCUCUUGACUUUGGUGUAACUUCAGGAAACUAGGGCUAAUAUCGUAUCGGAGCCCCUGCUGCAUGGUGGGCGUUGGAAAGUUUCGGCUGGCGGGGAUGGACGGGCGGCUUAUCAGCUUGUUGGUGGGGUAGUGGCUUACCCAGGCUUUGGCGGGUCGCCGGCAUGAGAGGGUGACCGGGCACAAGGGGACUGAGGGACGGAGCAGAGGGGAAUGUGAGGCAACGGGCGGGAACAUGGCACAAUGGGCGGGAGUCUGAUGCAGCGACGUCGGGGGUGGAAUGACGGUUUUUGGGGUGUAAACAGCUCUAGCCUGAGACGAAGCGGGAGUGACGGUAACGAAUAAAGAAGCACCGGCUAACUACGUG